ACUUGUGCCUCUCUCAAGGGCCUGUUUGAUCUUUAAUACAGCUCGUGUUCCUCCAGCAUCACUUGAGGGUCUUGGAGAAUAUUCUCACUGCUGGGUUAUAUAUGUUUUCCAUCAAAAUACAAAUCUAGAGAAGCUUUGGAAAGAUCCAACUAAGUCAAAGUUCAAGGCCAAGGUUGACUGGAUGGAUAGGUAAGAGUGCCAACACUAAACGGUGAAAGGAAGGGACUCUUUGCAACAAGAUCUCCACACAGGCCAUCCCCCAUUGGA